rnacentral:rRNA from 1 species
GAGAGUUAAAAAGUACGUGAAACCGUUGAAAGGGAAGCGAAUGGAGUUAGCAAUUCGCCGGUCAGAUUCAGCCGCUCGUGUGCCGCGACGUGCGCGCUCUCGAUCCGCACGGACGAGACGUGCGCGGGUGCGGCGUUCGGACGGCGCACUUCUGGCCGGCGAGCGUCAGCGUCGGUUGUCGCCGGGCGAAAAGGUCGCGGGGAAGGUAGACGGGACGUUCGCGGCCCGUUGUUAAGCCCUGCGCUCGUACGGCUCGACGGCGACCGAGGUCAUCUUCUCGUGGCGACGCGUGCUCACGCUGGCGACCUGUUCGAUCGGUCCGACACGUCGACCGUGGCGGACGGCACGCCUGUGCGCUCAAACUGCUGCCGGUCGAUCGAGCGGUGUUCGUACACUACGCGUCCAAGAUGCUGACGACCAUACGGCUCUAUCCGACCCGUCUUGAAACACGGACCAAGGAGUCUAACAUGUGCGCGAGUCUCCGGGUGAUCGAAACCCGUGGGCACAAUGAAAGUAAAGGCCGUCUCGGACGGCUGAGGUGAGAAGCCUUUAUCGGCCGCAUCAUCGACCGACMUAUUCUGCUCUCAGAAAGGUUUGAGUAAGAGCGUAUCUGUUGGGACCCGAAAGAUGGUGAAMUAUGCCUGAAUAGGGUGAAGCCAGCGGAAACACUGGUGGAAGCUCGUAGCGAUUCUGACGUGCAAAUCGAUCGUCGAAUUUGGGUAUAGCGGCGAAAGACUAAUCGAACCAUCUAGUAGCUGGUUCCCUCCGAAGUUUCCCUC